rnacentral:rRNA from 1 species
AACGAACGCUGGCGGCAUGCCUAACACAUGCAAGUCGAACGAGACCUUCGGGUCUAGUGGCGCACGGGUGCGUAACGCGUGGGAACCUGCCCUUAGGUUCGGAAUAACUCCCCGAAAGGGGUGCUAAUACCGGUUAAUGUCUUCGGACCAAAGAUUUAUCGCCUUUGGAUGGGCCCGCGCUGGAUUGGCUAGUUGGUAGGGUAAAAGCCUACCAAGGCGACGAUCCAUAGCUGGUCUGAUAGGAUGAUCAGCCACACUGGGACUGAGACACGGCCCAGACUCCGACGGGAGGCAGCAGUGGGGAAUAUUGGACAAUGGGCGAAAGCCUGAUCCAGCAAUGCCGCGUGAGUGAUGAAGGCCUUAGGGUUGUAAAGCUCUUUUACCCGGGAUGAUAAUGACAGUACCGGGAGAAUAAGCACCGGCUAACUCCGUG